rnacentral:rRNA from 1 species
GAUGAACGCUGGCGGCGUGCCUAAUACAUGCAAGUCGAGCGAACAGACGAGUUGCUUGCCUCUCUGACGUUAGCGGCGGACGGGUUAGUAACACGUGGAUAACCUACCUAUAAGACUGUGAUAACUUCGGGAAACCGUAGCUAAUACCGGAUAAUAUAGUAAACCGCAUGGCUCAAGAGUUAAAGACGGUUUUGCGGUCACUGAUAGAUUGAUCCGCGCCGCAGUAGCUAGUUGGUAAGGUAACGGCUUACCAAGGCGACGAUGCGUAGCCGACCUGAGAGGGUGAUCGGCCACACUGGAACUGAGACACGGUCCAGACUCCUACGGGAGGCAGCAGUAGGGAAUCUUCCGCAAUGGGCGAAAGCCUGACGGAGCAACGCCGCGUGAGUGAUGAAGGUCUUCGGAUCGUAAAACGCUGUUAUUAGGGAAGAAAAAAUGUGUACGUAACUAUGCACGUCUUGACGGUACCUAAUCAGAAAGCCACGGCUAACUACGUG